GGUGACACAGACAAUGGCCAAGAAAUGACAGACACAACUAAAAGGAACCGGACCAAAACAACUAUUUCCACACCAGCGACAUUCCAUCGUAUGCUUUUGCAAGGACACGUUUAUGUGCCUUUCAAGGUUUUGAUAGAACAUUGUCAGGAGGAAGCUUAAAAUUUGCCCUGAAUAAUAGGCUGAGGACUCACAGAGCGAUCUACAUAAAAGAUACAAGGCCACUUUGCCCCUGGGCACUGUGCUCUCUAUUUGCAUGUCAUCCUUUAUUUUCUACUAUCUUCUGUUUAUUUUAAAACCUACAGGCAUGUUUGCCUUUUGUACUCAUUUUAACCUAACAGUUAAUGGAACCCGUGAUUCAUCAUAACACUUUAGAUCUUAAUCAUAAGGUGUUUUCUGCUUGGUACCUUUGUUUGUGUUUUAAUUAGGCAGACCUUGUGCAUCUCCAACCCUGGGCUUCUUUUUAAUUGCCCGUAUUUACAUCAGGCAGACAUCAAACGCAGAGAGAGAGACAUUUGUAAGGGUGAACACAAAGCAGCCCUUUGAAAUGUCUACAGUCAUAUGAAAUGGCAUGCUAAUUAAAAAUCUAAGGCUGCCUCUGUGAUAGAAGAAGCAUUUAUAUUUGUAACUGUGGUGUAUAGACUGUCUCCAUAACUCAUCAACACACAGAGGCCAUAGUGUUUAUUAUCAGGCUCCCUACCUGUUUACAGACCACCAAGUAACCUUUCCAUUCCCAUUCAUCAAACAGCACAAAUGCCCUGCCUGUAAUUUAACACCAAAUUUCAAAAGGCUAAAUCAUUUUAAACAUUUUACACCAUGCUCUUUGAUCUGUACUGGCAUACAGUGCACGAGCACAGAUACAAUGAAUCUAGUUUACCAAGCUAUGAUUUACCCUUUAGUUCAUUAAGGUUAUUGCCAGUGAAUACUUGACCAUUCAACAGCUUAUUUUGCAUUUCUCACCAAGUGGAGAAAAUGUAAUUUAAUAAAGCUAAACCACAACCUUACGUUUGCAGUUCCCAUGUGCAAACCAUCCCGGAUUUACCUGAGGAAGUCCUUUUAGAUUUGGAAAAUUAGACUAAUUUACUUUCAUUACAUAUUUUAAAAUACAUUUGAAACAAAACAAUUACAUAAAAUAAAAAAAUUACAAAAACAUUUUACCUUUUUUCUCACUGGCAUAAAAUCAAACUACGCUUUCUACAAUAAUUAUUUCUAUUUGCUAAAAGGUUUCUAGUUCUUUCUGAUAUGUUCAUGUUAAUUGAUCUGAGGUAAAUUGUGGCACAUCUGUAGAUGUAUUUUAAAGUAACACUUCAAACAUAAUUCUUGCCUGGUUGGCAUCAUUAAAAAUGAUAAGAAAUCUGCCAAGACGCAAGGAAAAGAUUUAUG